rnacentral:rRNA from 1 species
AUACGAAGGGUGCAAGCGUUAAUCGGAAUUACUGGGCGUAAAGCGCGCGUAGGUGGUUUGUUAAGUUGGAAGUGAAAGCCCCGGGCUCAACCUGGGAAUUGCUUUCAAAACUAGCAGGCUAGAGUACAGUAGAGGGUAGUGGAAUUUCCUGUGUAGCGGUGAAAUGCGUAGAUAUAGGAAGGAACAUCAGUGGCGAAGGCGACUACCGUGACUGAUACUGACACGGAGUUGCAAAAGCGUGGGGAGCAAACAGGAUUAGAUCCCCUGGUAGUCCACGCCGUAAACGAUGUCAACUAGCCGUUGGGAUCCUUGAGAUCUUAGUGGCGCAGCUAACGCAUUAAGUUGACCGCCUGGGGAGUACGGCCGCAAGGUUAAAACUCAAAUGAAUUGACGGGG